GGAAGUUUUUUCUUUGGGCAAGGAGCUGACACCUAAACUCCCCAUCAGCUGGACAGAAGGAGGGUCCCCAGAAGCCUGGCUGGUGAUCAUUCAAAACCAUCUCAGACUUUGGGUACAAUAAGUAAUUGUGUGUUGAAUUGAAAAAUGGGAUGGCAAUACUCCAGAACGGUGCAACCGGAUGGAAAAACAUCUCCUCUUAAGGAGGCCUGUGAAAAUGGAUUAUCCAAAUGGACAGUAAUUCAUUUUUUUAUUAUCCUCUAAAUAUCUGCUGAAUAGUUGGAUAUGAAAGAAGAUAUCCUACUCUUUUACUUGCCUGGACUGAAGUGGAAAGCAAUAAAAUGAUAAGAAAAUGGCACAG